GGUACCCUUGCCCCUGGAGGGGGAAACUGCACCCAGACCCAGGUGGUGUUACCCUUUUCCCUGCGGUGGAGAGAAGCAGACCGCCCCGACUCCACAGCAGCAGGGAGGCCCCUCAUACCAGACCCCAGUUGGACGGCCAACUCCUGUGCACAGAAGUCUAAUGACAAAACAUCGCUCGGUUCAGAUCCAGGAGGCCGUUCCUCCUCAUCAUACCCAUCCAGGUCUCACUGUCAUUGCCCACUUGAGCACUGAAGUCUCCCAGUAGGACAAGAGAGGGGCACCCAGCGAACAUCACAAAACACCUGUCUAACACCAGUGAUAGGAGCAUCAUCUGUUAUGGAGGUGGCAGCUCUGGGUCGACCUUUCAGUUUAGGGAUGCUCUAUGAUGCCCGGAGAGAGAAACUCAUCCCAGGUGUCACACUGUGGAAUAAUAAAACUCUGCAGAAGAAGUCAGUGGGAGGAAGUAUCUACCACUACAGGAAGAACUUCCUGGUGACUAAGAAUUUCUCAGGGCAUAUAUCAAUGAUGUUGAAAAUGAAAUAAAUAGGAGAGAUCUGAUGUGGUGCAAGUACUUACAAAAUAACAUUCUUCCAGGUUCAGAGUGUAAAAUUUUCAACAUGAAAUUGGUGAUUAUUUUAAUAUAUAGGGUCGCAUUUUUCUCAGGUGGCUGCUACAACAGUUAUUAUGUACAGAAAAAUAUUUCAAGUCAGACUGGUUUCUGUUAUUGAUAUUGUCCAUAAACUGUCCUUAAAUAUAUGCCUUUUUAAAAUAAUUAAAAUCUUAACUACUUAAAAUAUCUUAAACUUCUCUACAUUCUGUGAAAUUUGUCUUUGAGUAAAAACCUUUUCACGCAUGUCAAAAGAGUUUUCAGGGGUUAACACUUAAGGUCAAACCUUAAAAACCAAUCUUGUCAUGAAACGCUGUGUGGCAGGCAGAAGUUGGACCCAAGAUGCAGGCACUCAGACUCGAGGGAUGAACUCAAAAAACUCAGCUUUAUUUGCUGACCGGGGAAAAGCAUACAAAACUAAACUACACAGGGAGAAUAACCUUACGCUUUGCAGAGAGCCACACGAGGAAACACACAGCUUGAGGGACAACGCGACACUGACACAAAGACACACUGGGCUUAAAUACACUGAGGCAGUAAUCAAGGGAUGAGAGACAGGAGGGAGACACAGCUGGGAGAAAUUAGGCUAACGAGACAGGGGAGAGGUGAAACUGAACACACUGACAUGAGACAGACUUUCACAAUAAAACGGGAAACAUGAAUUACUAAACAAGCACGCAGACUUGACACUGAGAGACAGAAAAUAACACAUGGAACUCAAACAAUGCAUGAAACCAUAAAUCCUUAAGCAUGGAUAAACAGAAACAAGAAACUAAUAAUAAUCAUCAUCACUACGAGAAUAAGAAAACAAUCCAUGAAGCCGAAUUAAACCAAAAUAUAAUAAACUCAAAAUACUGGGUCCAACGGACCCAGAACCGUGACAAAUCUACUUGAUGCAGAAAAAUAAUGUACGUCAAGAACAAUUAAUCUGACAGAGUUAUGAAGAGCAAAAGUCAGCAAAAGUAUUCCUAAGUGAUAAAGUUGGAAAAGUUUUAAAAUAGCUCCAACUGAAUGAGACAUAAAGCAACUCCAGGUCAGGGACAAGUUCCAGCUCCAAGUGGAGGAGUUUAAGUAUCUAAUUCAAUUCAAUUUUAUUUAUACAACAACAGUCGCCUCAAGGUGUUUUAUAUUGUAAGCUUAGACCCUAAAAUAACACUUAAAUAACAUUUAAAGUAUCUACUCUCACCUCAAAACUCCUGCCUUUCCUUCUCUCUUGUUGCCUCCUAACACACCUUCCACGUCUCCUCUUCUUUUGUCUUUGGCCACCAGUAGCAGUUUCCACUGGCACCUUGUUCACCAACAGCACUGGAAGCAUCCAGUGAUAAUCCAGGCCCCGACCAAACCAGUAGCAAAAUUUCAUUUGUGAUGAGCAACACGUUUACAAUGACCCAACCCUCCUCAUUUAUUGGGGAUUAGGACUAGGACUAGGAGUACACUAGUUUGCCGCCCCCCUGUAGCUGGGUUAAAUAAGCAAUUAAGGUGUUGUUGUCACAGGGUGAAUUGGACAAGUUUAACUUUGUGUUUUUAUUUCCUUCCAUGUAGUACUGUGUUUUAUUUUUUGAUCUUUUAUUAGUGUGUAGUGCUUUAGUUUUGUGGGGUUAUUGCAUGCUUUUUGUUUUGAUAUGUGAUUUGUUCCGGGGGGAUGCCCAUUCCACCACCCCUCCUGAUCAUUAACCUGACACGCCUGGGACCAAUCAGGGUUUGCCACAGCUAUUCAAUAAGAGGGAGAGAGAGCAUGAGAAACAGGGGGAGACACAUGGCGUGGUAACCAGAGAUGGCGAUGGCCGCGCAGAGCGGCAGGGAGGCCCGGCUACAGGCAGCUUUUCGAGGUGUGCGACAAAGGAGAAUGAUACUGGAGAUCACGGACAACUGCGCAUUGGAGAGAGUGAAUAGGUUGAGUAGAGAGGUCUGUGUUGGUGGUGAGGGGAGGUAGCCCCGCGCCAAAAGAGGCCCAUGGCAGGUGAUUGAGAGGGAGUGGGAUGGCGUCUUAUGUCCCCGGGACGGCGAGACCAUGGCUAUGCGUGUGAAGCACAGCAAAGUGGUGGGCAGAGUUAGGAGCUCUGCCCAUCCGGGGUAAGUCCCGAUCAAUCCUGUGUAGGACUCUUUUUUUAGUUGGCACCAGAACGAAGAGGCAGACAGGAUGGCUACAAUGCUGCCGGUUUCUGCGCCGUUUGGACUUUUAUGGGACUUUAUCUUCAUGGCUGAAGACAUUGGAUUUUAGCUGUAUUGUGUUAAUGUUUUUAACUUCAUGUUCUGCCUGCCUGUAUUUUAGUCUUUUCUUGUAAAUAAAUUAUAGUUUA